rnacentral:rRNA from 1 species
UGGGGAAUAUUGCACAAUGGGCGCAAGCCUGAUGCAGCCAUGCCGCGUGUGUGAAGAAGGCCUUCUGGUUGUAAAGCACUUUCAGCGAGGAGGAAGGUGGUGAACUUAAUACGUUCAUCAAUUGACGUUACUCGCAGAAGAAGCACCGGCUAACUCCGUGCCAGCAGCCGCGGUAAUACGGAGGGUGCAAGCGUUAAUCGGAAUUACUGGGCGUAAAGCGCACGCAGGCGGUUUGUUAAGUCAGAUGUGAAAUCCCCGGGCUCAACCUGGGAACUGCAUUUGAAACUGGCAAGCUAGAGUCUCGUAGAGGGGGGUAGAAUUCCAGGUGUAGCGGUGAAAUGCGUAGAGAUCUGGAGGAAUACCGGUGGCGAAGGCGGCCCCCCUGGACGAAGACUGACGCUCAGGUGCGAAAGCGUGGGGAGCAAAACAGGAUUAGAUACCCUGGUAGUCCACGCUGUAAAACGAUGUCGAUUUGGAGGUUGUGCCCUUGAGGCGUGGCUUCCGGAGCUAACGCGUUAAAUCGACCGCCUGGGGGAG